rnacentral:rRNA from 1 species
GUACACUCCUGCGGGAGGCAGCAGUGGGGAAUUUUGGACAAUGGGCGAAAGCCUGAUCCAGCAAUGCCGCGUGUGUGAAGAAGGCCUUCGGGUUGUAAAGCACUUUUGUCCGGAAAGAAAUCCUUGGCUCUAAUACAGUCGGGGGAUGACGGUACCGGAAGAAUAAGCACCGGCUAACUACGUGCCAGCAGCCGCGGUAAUACGUAGGGUGCGAGCGUUAAUCGGAAUUACUGGGCGUAAAGCGUGCGCAGGCGGUUUGCUAAGACCGAUGUGAAAUCCCCGGGCUCAACCUGGGAACUGCAUUGGUGACUGGCAGGCUAGAGUAUGGCAGAGGGGGGUAGAAUUCCACGUGUAGCAGUGAAAUGCGUAGAGAUGUGGAGGAACACCGAUGGCGAAGGCAGCCCCCUGGGCCAAUACUGACGCUCAUGCACGAAAGCGUGGGGAGCAAACAGGAUUAGAUACCCCAGUAGUCCCAUGAU